rnacentral:lncRNA from 1 species
AUGUGCUCUCUCUGGUAGCAGAAACCGGUGCUUGAUACAGGUUUGAUCAUUUCACAUGUCUCUUUGUUAAUCCAUAACUGUCUUCUGCAAUUAUUUUCAUCACGCAGCCGAGCAAAGAUAAAAGGUAGAACGUGCCCCUCUGGCCUGCUCCCAGGGAAACUCCAUUAUCCUCCCAGGCCCACGAGGCUGAGGAAAAGCCAAUCUGAGUGGGAAGAGGCAGCCCACAAGGACGAGCUCAGUGUGAGCAGAAAAUGAAGUUGUUACCAGACAGCAAACUGCAGCCCUCGGUUCUUAUGAAUAUUUGAAUGAGUAACUAAAAACAGCUCAGUGGACUCUAAGCAACUGUGACAGCUGAAGCUGCCUGGGAAAGCAGCAGUCUACAAGGACCACGAUGAAAAGAUCAGCAGCCACAUUUCCACCUACACCACCAGUAUAUUGUAAAACAUGAGCAGGUUCUUAGUUCCCAAAUAUUGUUUAGAAAGAGAAAUACCAUUUCCCCCUACGAAUUUUCAUAAGCAAGUAAUGUUUUGUUCCUGAAAAACUGAUGGAAGAUGUUGAAGAAAUGAUGAUUUUACAAAGAAGAAGAAAAGGGGGAUGGGGUGUGAAGGCAGGGAAAAGAAAAGACACCUUUCUUGAAAUUCUAGAGAUGAUGCCACUGCCACUAUGGGACCAUAGCACAGCAAAUGUGUAAAGAGCAAUUUCUUUAUUCCCAAGACUCUUGGCAUCUCUUUUCCUUUAACUACAUCAACCUGAGCAGAGCAGGUGGGGGUAUGGGUUGGCUUCCCAUGCUUUGAUGGAUGAAGACUGAAGGAAACAUCAUCAAAGGCUCCACACAUUUUCAGGUACCCCAGUGAGAUGAGGAGCUGUGGAAUAAAGCUUUGUUGUGCUGUGCAGUGAAGAGGAGCUCCACAGGGUGCUUCAGGGUUCUGAAUGCUUUCUUGCCUCCUUCUUCAGGCGCAGGAAAGGAGUCUUUCCUUCAGUGUUACUCGGGCCAGAUCCAUACAGACCUGGCACCAGCCUGAUGAGGCACCAGCAGUGCCAGGACAUGCUGCAGCUUUCUCCAGCAUCAGAACUGCGUCAAGGCCCCAUUUUUCUUGUCUUGGCUGCAUCGUGUAUUGGGCUAAGCCUGGUAAGAAUGAAACAUUGUUUACAGAGUUUACAGAAUGUCCUGAUUUGGAAGGAACCCACAAGAAUCAUCAAGCUCCUGUGUGAAUGGCCCAUACAGGAUUGAAUCUAUGACCUUGGCAUUGUCGGUGCCAUACUCUAAUUUGUCUUCCCCUUAGGAAUCUUCUAGCUCUAAGAAAAGCAGGUUUGUUCAGAAGAAGCAAUUGAACUAGCGGCUUUAUACAGAAACCUUGGAUUGUCAGGGCUUGGGAGGUUUGGAGUGUAAGCUGUGAAGAAUGUGGGC